AUGCUUGGACUACGAGCACGCUUUGGAGAGAAACUGCGCACCACCGGAUACGGUGACUUGCCAGCACUUGAUUCUGGGGGUUUUGGGCAGAACCAUCAGCAAGGACCUAGAGGAGCAAGCCUUGGUGUUGGGUCUUCAUCAGCUCAGCCUACACCUGUCGCUUCAACAGUUAGCACCACUUCUAGUAUGACAAUGAUUGCUGAUACGAUGAUGUAUCAUGCAAUGAAGGAGGAGCUUAUUAGACACCAGGAAGCAACCCAAUUCUAG
rnacentral:rRNA from 1 species